GGUCGCGUUGCGAGCGUGGCGUAGCGGAGCGGCGAUUUCAGCGCUGAACUUGCGAUGAGCACGCAUCCCCCGUAAUCGCAGUGCGCUGGCCAGCAGCAGCAGCGGGGCCGCCUUGUCGGAUUACUACUUCCCAAAUCGGGACUCUCGUUGUUCGUUUGUUUGCCUGCGCGGUGGUGGUUUUGGUCUUGGAAUGCUCAUUCUGUGCCUGCGCAGUGGAUGUAGUGACAGCGAUAGGAGUGGCAGCAGUAGAAGGGCGGAGAGGCGUGGGCAAUCCUGUUAAGGGCGGGAUUUUCAUGCUGUGUUUCGGAAAUUUUGUGUGUACUCUGUUCCCGGCGAUGUGGUCUGGGAAGAGCGUGGGUCGGACGUCUUCCUGGCGGCAUCGGACGGGGAUUGGUGGUUGUGACGUGCGUUGCCGAGGGCGGACUUAGUCUUCAGGAAUCGUUUUAGUUUUUGUAUGAGGCGUGCGUUUCUUUUGUUUCGGAAGAGAAUGGCUCUGUAGGAGUGGUUCGGUCGUGGAUUGAAGGGGAUUGAAAGGAAAUUGUGAAUUUGUGAAUUGCACCUCUUGUCGAGGUUUUGUAGCAGAAUUUUGUCUCUGCUCUUCACUGUCGAGUAGGUUCUUAAUUGGUGGAUGCGUUUUGGGCGCGCAAGGUCCUUCGGAAAGUUAGAGGGAGGAAGCCCUUCUCGCCAGCUAAGUGAUCACUUUUUAGUCAUACUACAGUGAGGCGGAUCAGGUGAGGUAGUUCACGAAGCAGGAUGAAGAAUCGGCGUUCAAGCUGGAGAUAUUCUGCCGAAGAAACGAAAGGCAAUGGUAGAGAGUGGCGGGUUAGAAAUUCAAUCCACAGGGAGGAGUCAUCUACUCAGCAUCUGCAUAAUGCACCCCGAGAGGAAGGGCGAGGAGCCACAAGAUGGGAUAGCACUGCUUUAAUUGAUUAUGGACCUCCUUCUACAGAUGGUCCUGUCCGACGUAGUGAUGUCAGAGAAACCGAGACAAAAGCUGAUGAUGGUUGGGGUUCAACUCCAGUUGAUAAUGACGCUGCAACAGACCUUACAAGUGCGUGGGAAGCUCUUGCUACAAGUAGUCUUUCUGACUGGAGCAAGCCACCCCAAAUUGAGAGUAUAGAGCACUGGGACGAUACUGGAGCAAAAGAAACGUGGGAUUUUGUAAUAAUUGGACGAACACGUGUGAACAACCCAGAUCUUUAUGUUGAGAAAAAUAUAGACUGGAAUGCAAAAAUCCCCCCUGACCUCCUGGCAUAUGUGGAUGAUAAGAACCGAUGUCGAAAGGCAUCACGUCCAAGGGCCGGAAGCCCCGUGUUGCUGGGCUUGGAAGUUUUGGGUCAGAGCUUUGGAGAUCAUCAACCACAAGGACAAGGUGACAAGGAGAAAGCAGUGUUAAACCAAUCGAAGGAGAAACACGAGCAAGUAGGUGGUAGGUGGGGUGAUGUAAAUCAGAAUUCUAAGCUUGCUCAGAGAAGGACAGAUCAGCAAUUGAAUCAGCGUGUAUCAGGCGAAAUGCAAAGUACCCUGAUUAGGGAUAAUUACGAAGAUAGAGGUCGCAAACGAAGAGGAGGUAAAUACAUCUCUGGUCUCUUUAUGCAGAAACCUAAAUCAGAGACAAUUUCCACUCACAUCUUUUUCCAAUCCUUCAUGUUCACAUGUCUAGACCUGUCCACACGUUGCUUUCUGCUAGAGCAUAUGUACAAAACCAUGUAUAACACGGCCUUGGCAGGUGCUUGUAUUUGGUUGUUGCGGCUCACAAUUGUCACGCGUAGACAAGGAUGAAUAUCAUAGGAAACCGAGAUUUCGAACAACUCACAGGUAUUAAAUUUUCGGCUCUGAAGGAAAGUGCGCAAAACGCAGCUUUUACAUACCAUUAUAGCAAGCUUAAUUAAAAAGGCUAGCGUACAUGGAAACUCGUAUCCUGUAAACUGCGCCUGCAACGUCACUUCAGAAUCUUUUUCAGGUACUGCCCGUGAUUUUGGCAUUCCCUGUAUUUUCAAUCAAUCAUCAAUCUCCAUGUAGGCUGUUGAAAGUGUGAUUUGGAAAUUAUUGAUUUCUGAUAUAGGAGUACAAAUAAAGGUAGUACACGCACCCACCACCUUGGACAACAUUUUGUGAGGCCGAAAGCGUAGUAGCAAGAAAGUACAUGUGGGUGUUACAAAAGAACACUAGCAAGGUCAGCAGUCAGCAUGGGGGACUUGGAUUCUAGUACGUGUUACCAAAUUACUUGGAACUUUCUGUUGACUACAUUUCAGCCAUUCUCAGAAUUUUCUCCUAUGAACCUUCAGAACACUGGUGAUUAUCUACACUCAACACAAUCUAGCGGACUCAAUCCUUGACAAUUAAGCAUCGCGGUUGCCAGAUUGAAUCAUGAAGCAUUUUAUCAAUUCCAAAUUGACAAGUCUUAUUUCUAUACCUCUGAACUACCAGUCUCAAAACAAUCGUGAAAGCUUGCUUGUGGUACACUUCUCACAUCAACUCAUGGACUUUAGCUGUCUGUUCGUCAGAGAAUCUGUAUAGUCCACGACUCCUACCAAGUCGUGUGGCCAGUCAACUAGACUUAUGGCUGACUAGGAUUUCCUAGUAUUUGUAUUUGAGUAUUCGUACUAAAAGCAUUCUCCACUCUAGUGUAAUA